rnacentral:lncRNA from 1 species
GGCCGCACACUUUGCAACGGCACCGCUACUCUUAUUUCCGUUGCACGGUGGAAGGUACAGUUUCCCUUCUCUAAGUUUGCUAGCUGUUCUGGGU